UACGUAGGGUGCAAGCGUUGUCCGGAAUUAUUGGGCGUAAAGAGCUCGUAGGCGGUUUGUCGCGUCUGCUGUGAAAACUCAGGGCUUAACCCUGAGCCUGCAGUGGGUACGGGCAGGACUAGAGUGUGGUAGGGGAGAUCGGAAUUCCUGGUGUAGCGGUGGAAUGCGCAGAUAUCAGGAGGAACACCGGUGGCGAAGGCGGAUCUCUGGGCCAUAACUGACGCUGAGGAGCGAAAGCAUGGGGAGCGGACAGG
rnacentral:rRNA from 1 species